AUUUUAGUCCUUUGUUGAGGAUUUUUUGUUGUGCCUUUGGUAUAGGCACAACAAAAAAUCCUCAACAAAGGACUAAAAU